rnacentral:lncRNA from 1 species
CUACCAAGACAGUCACUACUUCAUCAUCAGUAAAAGCUGUUUACUUCCGAUGUGUAAUAAACCCACGUGACCAUUUGGGGGCGCCAGAGUCCAGCACAGGCCGGCCGAGCCCGCGUUCUUCCCGGGGAAUGCAACAGCUGAUUCACCUGCUCCACGCUGAUUAAUAAUCAAACUACCAUUGUGUGGGGCCUAUCUUCCUACUGGACCUCAAAACCCACCUACUCCACAAGUUUAUCUUCACAAUUAUGAGCUACCUGCUUCACGUCACACUACAGCACCUAAAAGCAAAUAAUAAAGUUUAUUCUUGAGUUAACCUGCCUCUGUGUUCAGCCAAUCCCUCCUGCACGUGAGUGAUGCACCUGGAUGCUGCAUAAGGAGAGAUGGAAAUACCUAAGGUGUGGUCCUUACUUCCAAGGGGCUUAUAGCAGAACGAAGACUCGAAAGCAAGCACACCCACAACCACAACACAGCCGCUGGCACACACAGCAGGAAAGACACCGGGUUUAAUGGAGCAGAGAAAGGGGGCGUCAUCUCCAGGCACAGCUCCAUGAAGAAGAUGACAUUGACCUGGGAGCUCUGAGCCUUCAUAUAAUGAGUAAGCUUUCAGCUGGAAGAAAUCCCAAGUGGAGAAACAGGAAGCUAUAAAAGAGCAAUGGUUUUGGAUUCACAAAACCUGCCUGAGUGAACCUGGUUGCCAUUCUAGCACAGAGAUCCUGUCUCAAAAAAAAAAAAAAAAGAGGCCUGAGAGAACGUGUUUAUGUCUUUUCCCAUGUGAAGACACAGCUAGAAAGCACCAUCCUUGAAACUGAGAGCAAGCCCUCAUCAGUCAGUGAAUCUGCUGAUGCCAUGUUCUUGGAAUUCCCAGCUUCCAGAACUGUGAGCAAUAAAUGUACAUAGAUUGCAAA